UACGUAGGGUGCAAGCGUUAAUCGGAAUUACUGGGCGUAAAGCGUGCGCAGGCGGUUGUGCAAGACAGAGGUGAAAUCCCCGGGCUCAACCUGGGAAUUGCAUUUGUGACUGCACGGCUAGAGUGUGUCAGAGGGGGGUAGAAUUCCACGUGUAGCAGUGAAAUGCGUAGAGAUGUGGAGGAAUACCGAUGGCGAAGGCAGCCCCCUGGGAUAACACUGACGCUCAUGCACGAAAGCGUGGGGAGCAAACAGG
rnacentral:rRNA from 1 species